GUUUUAUUCUGUUAAAUAGAAAAACAAGGGAAUCAACUUACGUAACCUUCAAACCGCAGGAGCAAAGCACAGGGAAACACAGAAAUCUGAAUAUGAAGCGCAGAGGAGUGUCUGGAAAAAACGCUCUUUGGACUGUGCAGUAACUGAAGCUACCCAUCUCACCUGACCAUACCCAUCUAGUACAACAAUGGAAAAGCCAGACAGGGCGGAUGGCCCAUCAGCGAGGAAAAUGGACUGUGAAAGGCUUGGCCUUCCUGCGGACACGCCAUACUGCCACUGACUCAUGAACGCUGUGAUACUAUGGAGUCAGGUGGUCUUGUCGCCUGAUACUAAACAUUACCUGGGACUUCUUGUAACUUUCCACUGGAAGGGAAGGGGGGGGAGGGGGAAGGUGUCAAGUUUGGGAAACAAAGGAUUUCCCGCCUUAUGUAAAUCCUAUUUAAGGGUGGG